AAAAGAAGAUCUUGAAUCCACUUGAGAUAUAGAGCCGAUACAGUGGGCGCAUAAUCUGAAGAGAUAGGUAGUAUAAAUAUGUAGGGUAAUUACAAAUAUCUUCUUCUAGUGAUUCUUCUUGAAGCAGUCCUAACAGGCUUUCUACGCCUCUUCUCAAUUUUUUGCCUCUUUGAAGAAUCUUGAAUCUUGAACUCAUCUCCUUCGAAUUUCUUCCUCUUGAGGAGCUUCACAAGUCCUUCAAGUGCAAUAUCAGCAUCUUCAUUCUUCAUUAGCUCUUCGGCAACCUGCGCUGGAGUGAUCUCUACGUUAUUUAUCAAGCUUUCAAUUUCUGCAAAGAGUCCAUGGCAGGAAUUGAUGCCCAAGUAAUUGGAUGCCAACUUCCCAAACCCAUGAGAUGUGCAAUACGACAUGUGAAUGUGCAUGUCCAUGCGUCCUGGACGCAACAAAGCAGGGUCUAGCCUUUCCUUAUGGUUGGUGGUAAAUAUAAUGAUUCUUUCAUCCCCACAACUCGACCAUAAUCCAUCUAUGAAGUUUAGUAGCCCAGACAAUGUCAACUGUACCUCAUGUUGUUUGUUAUUACGUCCAUCAGGAAGGCGCCGAUCAGGUAGAUCCACACUACAAUCAAUAUCUUCAAUCACGAGAAUUGAUUUAUUUCCAGUUGCCAGCAAUAAUUUGCUCAGAUCGGAAUCCCGCAUUAUGUUUGCAAGCUGCAAAUCAUAGACAUCAAACUUUAAGUGGUUAGCCAUGGCUGCAACCAAGCUGGAUUUUCCAGUCCCUGGAGGCCCAUACAGCAAGUACCCACGUUUCCAUGCCCUCCCUACUCUCUUGUAGAAGUCCUUCCUACUCACAAAUCUUUCCAGAUCCUCUAUAACAGCUUUUUUCGCUUCUGGGUCCAUAGCCAGAGUCUCAAAUGUUGCUGGGUGAUCAAGAUUUAUGGACUCCCACUUGAUGCCGCCGUAGGAUGGUGAAUUAUUCAGUGUAUGCAUCUUCAAGACUCUUUGUUCAUCUUUGAUUUUUCUUGAUUUUUCAAGAAUAUAAGGCACGUAAUAGUUCAACACUUUUUCCUUGUGUUUCUUGUGGAAACUAAGCUCGAAACAUCGCUUCUCGGAUCUUGACAGGAAAGGGUUAUGGUUAUUGGGAUCGUUCUUUUCAGGCUCUGUACAGACAAAUCUCCAUUUAAGCUCAAUAUCGUCAAAGAAAUCAACGACUUGCUCUCCUUUCUCGAGCUUAAUUGUCAAAUUUUUCUCUCUCGAGGUUUUGCUUAUUUUCAGCCUUUCAGUGUUUGGACUAACCUUAGUGCACAAGUAUGUUUCAGACGCAUCAUAGACUAGGUUUCGAGCAAUUCCGGUGGACUCAUCGAUGACUAAGGUAAGAAGAGAAGAUCGAGGCUUGAAGAAGAAGCGGAAAGUGGAGAAAAGGUAGCUUCUAAUUGGAUAAGGAAUGAUUUCAUUAACCAUGGAUCGAAAUAGCAUCAUUGAAGUGGCGAUAGAGGCAUAGGCAGAGAACAAGGAUGACGGGGAAGGCAUUUCUUUUGAAGAAAACAUGAUUGCAAGACGGAGUUUGACACCUUCGGCUAGAGGCUCUAGACAGUUUCUCUGUUUUUAAGGGAUACUGAAACUCUAUAUUGACAGAAUCUUGAAUUAAAUACCCAAAUCCUGAGGUGUUGGACUCAAACACAAAAC
rnacentral:misc_RNA from 1 species